rnacentral:rRNA from 1 species
AUUGAACGCUGGCGGCAGGCCUAACACAUGCAAGUCGAGCGAGCGGCGGACGGGUGAGUAAUGUAUGGGGACUGCCCGAUAGAGGGGGAUAACUACUGGAAACGGUGGCUAAUACCGCAUACGAUCGGAUAACCCAUAUGGGAUGAGCUAGUAGGUGGGGGAAAGGCUCACCUAGGCGACGAGCCCUAGCGGGUCUGAGAGGAGGAUCAGCCACACUGGGACUGAGACACGGCCCAGAAUCCUACGGAGGCAGCAGUGGGGAAUCUUGCACAAUGGGCGCAAGCCUGAUGCAGCCAUGCCGCGUGUAUGAAGAAGGCCUUAGGGUCGUAAAGUACUUUCAGCGGGGAGGCGUUACCCGCAGAAGAAGCCCCGGCUAACUCCGUGCCAGCAGCCGCGGUAAUUC